ACACACCCGGAGAAGGAGUGGGGGGGGGUUGAGAACAGGGCCUGGGACAAUCUGCACAGCUAUCUCGGAAGAAGAGAAAAAGAGCUCUGACUUUUCAGGAGAGAGGCCAUGCCGGAGGGCACCCCUGCCAACCUGGGCACACUUUGGGGGUCAGACUUGAUUCUCCGCAAUGAUGUCUGCCCUGCCCUUGCUUGCCCCAGCCCAUGCCCCCCAGGGCUCUGCUCCACCUUGAUGCCCAAAGCUCUUCCUAGGAGACACGAGGUAGAAGAAAUGAAUGCAUCUCCAGUAAGAAAGAGGGCUGUUAGAAGGAGAGGGGGGCCUCCUGGUGAUGAGAGGAGUUAUUUAUGGAGAUGCUAAACAGAUCACACCCUCUGAGGAUGGAGCCUAGGAAGACCCCAUGGCCCUGUUGAUCUCGUUACUCUGUGUCUUGUCAGCAGAUCUGCCGCCCUGCUGCUCAUUCAAGCUUGGGGCUAAUCACAUUAAUUGAAAUAUUAAACAUUUACAAAAAUGAAUUAUAAUGAACUCCCCUUCCUCCUCCUCCCAGUCAGCAACUGGGGAGA